AAGCCUGAUCCAGCCAUGCCGCGUGGGUGAAGAAGGCCUUCGGGUUGUAAAGCCCUUUUGUUGGGAAAGAAAAGCAGCCGGCCAAUACCCGGUUGUUCUGACGGUACCCAAAGAAUAAGCACCGGCUAACUUCGUGCCAGCAGCCGCGGUAAUACGUAGGUGGCAAGCGUUGUCCGGAUUUACUGGGUGUAAAGGGCGUGUAGCCGGGAAGGUAAGUCAGAUGUGAAAUCUGGGGGCUCAACCUCCAAACUGCAUUUGAAACUACUUUUCUUGAGUAUCGGAGAGGUAAUCGGAAUUCCUUGUGUAGCGGUGAAAUGCGUAGAUAUAAGGAAGAACACCAGUGGCGAAGGCGGAUUACUGGACGACAACUGACGGUGAGGCGCGAAAGCGUGGGGAGCAAACA
rnacentral:rRNA from 1 species